GAUGAACGCUGGCGGCGUGCCUAAUACAUGCAAGUCGAGCGAACAGACGAGGAGCUUGCUCCUCUGACGUUAGCGGCGGACGGGUGAGUAACACGUGGAUAACCUACCUAUAAGACUGGGAUAACUUCGGGAAACCGGAGCUAAUACCGGAUAAUAUAUUGAACCGCAUGGUUCAAUAGUGAAAGACGGUUUUGCUGUCACUUAUAGAUGGAUCCGCGCCGCAUUAGCUAGUUGGUAAGGUAACGGCUUACCAAGGAGACGAUGCGUAGCCGACCUGAGAGGGUGAUCGGCCACCCUGGAACUGGGACACGGUCCAGGCUCCUACGGGAGGCAGCAGUAGGGAAUCUUCCGCAAUGGGCGAAAGCCUGACGGAGCAACGCCGCGUGAGUGAUGAAGGUCUUCGGAUCGUAAAACUCUGUUAUUAGGGAAGAACAAAUGUGUAGGUAACUAUGCACGUCUUGACGGUACCUAAUCAGAAAGCCACGGCUAACUACGUG
rnacentral:rRNA from 1 species